rnacentral:rRNA from 1 species
UACGGAGGGUGCAAGCGUUAUCCGGAUUUACUGGGUUUAAAGGGUGCGUAGGUGGGUCUGUAAGUCAGUGGUGAAAUCUUCGAGCUUAACUCGGAAACUGCCAUUGAUACUAUAGGUCUUGAAUUAUCUGGAGGUGAGCGGAAUAUGUCAUGUAGCGGUGAAAUGCUUAGAUAUGACAUAGAGCACCAAUUGCGAAGGCAGCUCACUACGGAUUUAUUGACACUGAGGCACGAAAGCGUGGGGAUCAAACAGG